rnacentral:rRNA from 1 species
ACUCCUACGGGAGGCAGCAGUGGGGAAUAUUGCACAAUGGGCGCAAGCCUGAUGCAGCCAUGCCGCGUGUAUGAAGAAGGCCUUCGGUUGUAAAGUACUUUCUAGUCGUGAGAAGGCGGCGUCGUUAAUAGCGGCGUUGUUUGACGUUAGCGACAGAAGAAGCACCGGCUAACUCCGUGCCAGCAGCCGCGGUAAUACGGAGGGUGCGAGCGUUAAUCGGAAUUACUGGGCGUAAAGCGCAUGCAGGUGGUUUUGUUAAGUUCAGAUGUGAAAGCCCGGGGGCUCAACCUCGGAAUUGCAUUUGAAACUGGCAGACUAGAGUACUGUAGAGGGGGUUAGAAUUUCAGGUGUAGCGGUGAAAUGCGUAGAGAUCUGAAGGAAUACCGGUGGCGAAGGCGGCCCCCUGGACAGAUACUGACACUCAGAUGCGAAAGCGUGGGGAGCAAACAGGAUUAGAUACCCUGGUAGGACAGUG